rnacentral:tRNA from 1 species
GCGACAAUGGUUCAACAGUAGAAUCCGAGAGCGCCACUCUCGGGAUCCGGGUGCGAUUCCCGGUUGUCGCU